UAAAAACCUGUUGAAAUAAAAGAUCAGGAGACAUAGGAAGGAUGCCAGAAGAGAGCGUGGCCUCACGUGUACCAGCUCUCUGCUCUCCUUUGCCUUGGGACGUUCCAUCCCUGGAAGUUUCCCUGCCCACAUCUUUGUAGAGAGUCCAUUCUCCAAGCUUCAGUGUGUCAUCUGUGAGGACCGUGACCCACCUGGUACAUCGCCUCAGGGCAUUCAUUUCAGGCUCCUUCUAAAUGGCCAAGAGACAACACCAACAUUUUUGUAAUGGCCUGCAAGGCCUUCCGAGAUCUACCUCCUGCAACUCAGCUUCUCCUGUGCUCUCCUUCUGGACUCACUCUGCCUCAGCAACACUGGUCCCUGUUGCCCCACCAAUAUGCCAGGAUCUUGGAAGCAGAGGGAUCUGCAGAAGUGCUUGCAACACUUUCAGCCUUA
rnacentral:lncRNA from 10 species